AAGAAAAAAGAAAGAAACAAAAGCAUAUAAUUGUUGUCCAAACCCCUGCAAGUUAAAGUCUAUAAAUCUUGCUUUCCCUUUGCACUAUCAUUCAUCUUCACGUUGUGGUGAUAGGAUUUUCGAAGUUAUUGGUUCUGCUUCCGAAGAUGAAUGGUCCUUCAGCAAAGCUGGUGGCAAUUACAACACUAGUGUUGCUUCUGGUGGGGGAUUUCCAAGCAACUUGUGGACUACUUCCUCAUGUAGAACAAGGUUGCUUUGAAUGUCAAAGUGAUAUUUUGAGCACGAAAGUGAUGCCCGUUCGCCGCAGUCUAAGACCAAUGCCAAAUCUGACGCCUCCACCUCCUUGCGAUAAUGAACGAACGGUGUGGAGGUUUUACCAGUGCAACUAGACCGCAUGGCCCCCCCCCCCCCCCCAAAAAAAAAAAAAAACCAACCAACCGCACCAUCCCCCCAAUAUUUUGUUUUCACCCACCCCCAUCCCCCGCGACCGACCAACCACACCAUCCUCCUCCCACCCCACCCCCACAACCCAAUAUUUGUUUUCCCCCUACCCCCACCCCCACCCCCAUCCCCCCAACCAACCAACCAACCGCACCAUCCCCAUCCCCCCCCCCCCACCCCCACGAACAGGACCAUCUGGGGCAGCGCGUUGUUCUUAUUUUCGUGUUUUUUUAUUUGUUUUCUUAAUCAAGUUUAUGUUGCCCGCUCUUUUAUUGUAUUUUUUACUAUUAUUUCUUCUCAUAUUAUGAGCUAAACUUUAUCUCCCCUUAACUAAGUGCAACUUUUUUUUUAUGCACUUAGUUUUUCUAAUUCUAUAAAAUUUCUCUCAUGCAAUCGAGCUUUUCCUUUAAAAAAAAAAAAAAAAGGAACAAACCAACCAACCAACUAAGAAACUAAGAAACAAAAAAUUAGGCCUAAUAUUCAAGCACGAUGACCAAUAGAUAUAACUAGUCAAAUUGCCCGCACUCCGCUCGAAGUAUAGUCUUGUACCAUCUGAUUUGUUUUGUUAUUCCAAUUUCUUUUUGGCAUUUUGCCAUCAUGUGCAAAAAAAAUGUAAACUUCAAGCACCAAAUUAUAGGAUGUGAAGAAAAAAUGAACAAGCAUAAAUUAAUUUUUAAAUUUUCAUCGCAUUCAAAUUGUAAUUAAAUAAAAUAAAUACACAAUAACCAUACAGAAAAAAAUUAAAAACCCACAAAAAAUCAAAUCACAUUCCUAAAUCUCGUCUGCAAAUUCCAAUCCAAUUUCCACACAGCUGCUGGGAGCUUUGCAAUUGUAUUCUCCAAGACAAUAUGUACAUCCUAAUUAUAUUAUUUCUUUGCCAAAUAAAAAUCACGGUGCAUAAACAAAAAGGAAAACAUAAGAAACGGGCACGCCUCUUCAAUUUUAUCUUCAAAUAUAUAGUCUUUCGCGUACAUAAAAUCAUAUAAACAUGGAAUGGUGGAAAGUUUGUAAUGAGAAGUGUCAUGAGUUGCUAUUAAUUGCAUAGAUAAAAUCAUAUCAAUAUUGAAAAAUUUGUUAUGAGGAGUAUCAUGAGUUGUAAUUAAUUGUUACAAUAUAAAUGACCGAUAUGGUUGAUAUUUCAUUGAUUUAGGGCAUAACAUUAAUAAAUUGCUUGUCAGGCAGGAUGUGUAAUAUCAGGUGAAAAUCUACGAUGUAUGGACAUGGACACGGAUACGGGGAUACGACACGAAGAUACGUCAAAUUUCUAAAAACGAGAUGGGUUUUGUGAUGUCCUCGGGGAUCAGAGAUGGGUUUUAGUUUCAGUUUCAGAGAUGGGUUUCGGUUUCACAGUUUCACUAUUAAGUAUUAACAAAGUGAAACUGAAAACGAAAGCUCACCACUCACUCACCAGGAGUUGCAGACAGAGACGAAGGAGACGACGGAGCAAUUGUAGACGGAGAAGAUGGAGACGAUAGCGUAGUUGCAGAUGGAGACGACAGAACGGUUGCAUAUGAUAGUCUAAUUCGUGACAGUCUCCCAAGCAUAGUGAUUUCUGAGGUUCGAGAGGUAAAUCCGAAUUUUUUUUUUCUUCUAAUUAUCCUCCGAUUUUAGAGUGAUUUCAGUUAGCUAACUUCGAUCAAUCACAAUUCUGUGAGGAUUUAUUGUGAUUAUUUUUUAUUUUUCUUCUGAUUAUCCUCCUAUUUUAGUUUCAAACGUAUCUGAAAAGUAGGAUACUUGUAUCUGGACAAUACAAUACGCGUAUCUUAUCAGUCCUAAACGUAUCUCUUCAUUUCGAUACGUAUCGGACGCGUAUCCUUCGCAUAUCCGUAUCCUUAAAGCGUCAGAUACGGGAUACAGUAGCUUUCUCCAGUGUCCAUGCAUCGUAGGUGACAAUUUGAUGUUAUUUUCUCCCAAUAUCAUCUCUACUAAUCAAAAUGGUGAUAUACUACUGAAAGGAAUUGCCGCUUCAACUGACCCUUUACUUUUAAGAAGCUUUAAUGGUCGUCGUCAAUGUUUCUCUGUUCUCUUUGUUUUUUCUCAAAAGAAAAUGCUGAAAAGAACAGUGCAAAGUUAGUCAUUUUUGGGAACCAUCUGAAAUCAUAAUCAUAAAACAGC